CUUCCGGAGCUAACGCGUUAAGUCGACCGCCUGGGGAGUACGGCCGCAAGGUUAAAACUCAAAUGAAUUGACGGGGGCCCGCACAAGCGGUGGAGCAUGUGGUUUAAUUCGAUGCAACGCGAAGAACCUUACCUACUCUUGACAUCCAGAGAACUUAGCAGAGAUGCUUUGGUGCCUUCGGGAACUCUGAGACAGGUGCUGCAUGGCUGUCGUCAGCUCGUGUUGUGAAAUGUUGGGUUAAGUCCCGCAACGAGCGCAACCCUUAUCCUUUGUUGCCAGCGAUUCGGUCGGGAACUCAAAGGAGACUGCCGGUGAUAAACCGGAGGAAGGUGGGGAUGACGUCAAGUCAUCAUGGCCCUUACGAGUAGGGCUACACACGUGCUACAAUGGCGCAUACAAAGAGAAGCGACCUCGCGAGAGCAAGCGGACCUCACAAAGUGCGUCGUAGUCCGGAUCGGAGUCUGCAACUCGACUCCGUGAAGUCGGAAUCGCUAGUAAUCGUGGAUCAGAAUGCCACGGUGAAUACGUUCCCGGGCCUUGUACACACCGCCCGUCACACCAUGGGAGUGGGUUGCAAAAGAAGUAGGUAG
rnacentral:rRNA from 1 species